AAGAUUCAUCGCUGAUAGAUAGGCAUGCGUUCCAUUAGGCAGUUGGCGGGGUAACGGCCCACCAAACCGACGAUGGAUAGGGGUUCUGAGAGGAAGGUCCCCCACAUUGGUACUGAGACACGGACCAAACUCCUACGGGAGGCAGCAGUGAGGAAUAUUGGUCAAUGGGCGUAAGCCUGAACCAGCCAAGUCGCGUGAGGGAUGAAGGUUCUAUGGAUCGUAAACCUCUUUUAUAAGGGAAUAAAGUGCGGGACGUGUCCCGUUUUGUAUGUACCUUAUGAAUAAGGAUCGGCUAACUCCGUGCCAGCAGCCGCGGUAAUACGGAGGAUCCGAGCGUUAUCCGGAUUUAUUGGGUUUAAAGGGUGCGUAGGCGGCCUUUUAAGUCAGCGGUGAAAGUCUGUGGCUCAACCAUAGAAUUGCCGUUGAAACUGGGAGGCUUGAGUAUGUUUGAGGCAGGCGGAAUGCGUGGUGUAGCGGUGAAAUGCUUAGAUAUCACGCAGAACCCCGAUUGCGAAGGCAGCCUGCCAAGCCAUGACUGACGCUGAUGCACGAAAGCGUGGGGAUCAAACAGGAUUAGAUACCCUGGUAGUCCACGCA
rnacentral:rRNA from 1 species